rnacentral:lncRNA from 1 species
GGAAGAAGUUCCUUGUACAUGCAGAGAAUUUAUGGCCCGAACACCCUUUAAGCUAUCAACCACUAAGCUAGGCAUGGUAGGAAAAGUAGUUACAUCAGUGCAUGCCAUUCGCAUUAAAAACAACAAGGGCACGCUCUCCGUGUCGAAUACUUGCGUUAUCUAAAAGCAUUUUUAUGAUUAAGUCCUAUCCGAUGCUGUUGACAUGAUUUUAAAUGGUAUAUAUUGCUAGCUGAAGAUGCGCGGCGUGCAAUACCUUUUAUGUUCCAGAUUUUGCAUCCCUCCUCCACUAGGAAAAGAUUAAUUUUGAGUUUAAACCUGGCGCUGCAUUUCAUUGUGUUGGCAAAUUUCAAUGUCAUUGGCCUGUCUAAAUCUAAGAAUAUUCUAAUGAUCUUUUUAAUUUUAAAAUCUAACAUAACAAUAAAAAGAUGGCCGGAAGGAAAUUGGAUUUUAAAGUCUAAGCAUUUAAUUUUGUGCACUUCUUUAGACCAAUCAAACUUGACAUAACAUGCAAGCCACAAAAUUAUGUGACUUGCACAAACACAAAAUAAAAUAUAUAUUCUUGAUGUUGAUCAUC